CCCGCUGAACUUAAGCAUAUCAAUAAGCGGAGGAAAAGAAACUAACAAGGAUUCCCCUAGUAACUGCGAGUGAAGAGGGAAAAGCUCAAAUUUGAAAUCUGGCGGUCUUUGGCUGUCCGAGUUGUAAUUUAGAGAAGUGUUACCCGAGCUAUACCGUGUAUAAGUCUCCUGGAAUGGAGCGUCAUAGAGGGUGAGAAUCCCGUCUUUGACACACAUAAUAGUUCAUUGUGGUGCGCUCUCAAAGAGUCGAGUUGUUUGGGAAUGCAGUCUCUAAAUGGGUGGUAAAUUCCAUCUAAAGCUAAAUAUUGGGGAGAGACCGAUAGCGAACAAGUACCGUGAGAGAAAGAUGAAAAGAACUUUGGAAAGAGAGUUAAACAGUACGUGAAAUUGCUGAAAGGGAAACGCUUGAAGUCAGUCGCGUUAGCUGGGGAUCAGCCUUCCUUUUGGUUGGUGUACUUCCUAGUUGACGGGUCAGCAUCAGUUUUGACCAGUGGAUAAGAGUUUGAGGAAUGUGGCAUCUUCGGGUGUGUUAUAGCCUUUCGUCGUAUGCAGUGGUUGGGACUGAGGAACUCGGCACGAAAUCUAUUUUGUGCUUAGGAUGCUGGCAUAAUGGCCUUAAGCGACCCGUCUUGAAACACGG
rnacentral:rRNA from 1 species